AAAGUACUCCCUCCGUCUCAAAAUUCUUGUCUUAGAUUUGUCCAAAUACGGAUGUAUCUAGUUAUGUUUUAGUGUUAGAUACAUCCGUAUCUAGACAAAUCUAAGACAAGAAUUUUGGGACGGAGGGAGUAGUAC
rnacentral:pre_miRNA from 1 species